UCAGCCAUGGGAGCUGCUGCGCUGCGCCUCUCGGGCUAUGGCUCAGUGCGGCUACGGCUGUCCGCGGUGGCGGCGCAGCGCAGCGCAGCAGCGUCCGGCUUCCACUGCUUCCAUCCGCCGCCCGGCGGAGACCGUCGUCGCGCCGGAACGCAAAGGACGGACCGGCUUGCUUUUUGCUGUCUUGUCACUGGAACUAAUCCCACGGAUCGAACCGCUCCUACUCCAGGAUUCUUUUGGAGACUUUAACGUGAUUAAAACGCUACUUUCGCAGCCGUGGCGCCGGUGGAGGAGUUCACGUCGCUGCUCGCGGCGGUCAAGCGUCGCGAUGGAUUCAACACGCCGGCUGUGCAUCGUCCGGCGCGACGUGAGGGAAUAUACCGUCUCCGACACGGGGAUGAAUAGUGUCCGUCCGUCCAGUUGGUCGGACAGGAGCGUCUCUCGGGACACCCGGCGCGUGCGGCCAGUGUCACCAGUGUCACCAACGGUCAACACCAAGACGCGCUUUUUUGGAGAGCGAUAUUCGUUGAGCUGGAUUUUGUCACAAGGGGGAAAGGAAUAUUCCGGAAUAUAAUUUGAAAGCCCUCAACAGACGUUCUGCAGUUGGGAUGGUGACAUGUCGCAUCCCCUCAUCCAGCAGUGAAGGGAUCCGAUUUCAUGGAAUGAGAGGCUGAUUCUUUAAUUGCUUUCCAGGGAAUUUCUGAUGAUCUCAGGUGAGCACAGAAAAAAAGGCUGAGUAAUGGAAACAUGAUCUCAAGAGAUUCCUUCAAGGAUCAUGCCUAAUCCUGGUUUGGACUACGGGCAGAGCAUGGCCUGCAGCAGAUGUUUGCUCCUGGCAUGGCUGCCAACAGCGUGAGCUCCAUCACUGACAAUCCAGUUCUCGGGACGCAUCGCCAGCAGCUUGGACGCGGAGAAGCUGUGACACAAACUCAGCAGGACAGUGGAGUGUAUUCUGCUGCUCAGAUAUUAUGGAACAGAUCGGUCAACCCCGUCUGGAGAGGCACUCGAUAGGAAAAUCAACUCUAUGGAGCUACGAUUACCGCGGUUACCACAAUGGAUCUACACAUUGUUUGACUUUCUCUAAAUUGAACCUGGAUUAAUAUUUCCCUGUAUAUACAUCUGCUUUUGAUAUUCAGUGUUUAUUCACGCUGUUGCUCAUUCCCUGCACUUGUGACAUAUACUGUGUUAUUCUGGAAACAGUAUCAACAAAUGCUGGAAGAGUAAAUGGAAAAUAAUCAGCUGUUAUUUCCUUCUUAGCUCUAUUAUUUUUACAGAAGGAAGGCAGCACUUACACCAAUGCAGUCACAAACAAAGUGUAUCUUGUAAGGAGCACACUAAAAGUUUUCCUGAUGAAUUGAUUAAUAUACAUAGGAAUAGUCACAGGGAUUACUCACAUUCAACAUCUUCCAAUUAAGAUAAGAUAAUCCUUUAUUCGUCCUGCAGCAGGGAAAUUACAACAACUGCGUUCACAAAUGAAGCCAUUGAACCAAAGGUGCUUAUGAAUAAAACUAUUAACAACUCUUUGGCAAUCUUUUCUAACUCAUCUGAUAAAGAUGUAUUGCUUCAUCGGUUUUGUCUGUGAAACUCUCGAACAUAAAAUAAAAAGGAAAAGGUGUAAUCAA